rnacentral:rRNA from 1 species
GGCCGCGGGAUUAGAGUUUGAUCCUGGCUCAGAUUGAACGCUGGCGGCAUGCCUUACACAUGCAAGUCGAACGGCAGCGCGGACUUCGGUCUGGCGGCGAGUGGCGAACGGGUGAGUAAUACAUCGGAACGUACCCUGUUGUGGGGGAUAACUAGUCGAAAGAUUAGCUAAUACCGCAUACGACCUGAGGGUGAAAGCGGGGGACCGCAAGGCCUCGCGCAGCAGGAGCGGCCGAUGUCUGAUUAGCUAGUUGGUGGGGUAAAGGCCCACCAAGGCGACGAUCAGUAGCUGGUCUGAGAGGACGAUCAGCCACACUGGGACUGAGACACGGCCCAGACUCCUACGGGAGGCAGCAGUGGGGAAUUUUGGACAAUGGGGGCAACCCUGAUCCAGCAAUGCCGCGUGUGUGAAGAAGGCCUUCGGGUUGUAAAGCACUUUUGUCCGGAAAGAAAACGCUCUGGUUAAUACCUGGAGUGGAUGACGGUACCGGAAGAAUAAGCACCGGCUAACUACGUGCCAGCAGCCGCGGUAAUACGUAGGGUGCGAGCGUUAAUCGGAAUUACUGGGCGUAAAGCGUGCGCAGGCGGUUUUGUAAGACAGGCGUGAAAUCCCCGAGCUCAACUUGGGAAUUGCGCUUGUGACUGCAAGGCUAGAGUAUGU